rnacentral:rRNA from 1 species
UACGAAGGGAGCUAGCGUUGUUCGGAAUCACUGGGCGUAAAGCGCACGUAGGCGGAUUUGCCAGUCAGGGGUGAAAUCCCGGGGCUCAACCUCGGAACUGCCUUUGAUACAGCAAGUCUUGAGUUCGAGAGAGGUGGGUGGAAUUCCUAGUGUAGAGGUGAAAUUCGUAGAUAUUAGGAAGAACACCGGUGGCGAAGGCGGCCCACUGGCUCGACACUGACGCUGAGGUGCGAAAGCUAGGGGAGCGAACGGG